GUCCACGAGUAGGGCUCGGCGUGAUGAUUGGGUAUUCAUGCCUUAUGCAUGAGAUGUGCCUCCUUCAAACCUUGUUACGUGGGCACAUUACCUGUCUAACG